GACUGCUCGCGCUUGAGCCUCCUUUCAUCGGAAGCAAGAAGAAUCACACACCUCCGGUUUACCGCGAUGAAGACUGCCCGCGCCUGAGCCUCCUUUCAUCGGAAGCAAGAAGAAUCACACACCUCUGGUUUACCGCGAUGAAGACUUCCCACGCCUGAGCAUCCUUUCACCUAGGUCUUCAUCGUAUUUUCACUAGAAAUUGGUAUUUCGAAAAAUCCUUGCCCGAGCCACAGCUCAUGAUUCUAGAGCUACCAGGAAACAAGUAAAGGUACUCCGGCAUAUAAUUGUCGUCUGUUGGUUUUCUUGCUUUUUCAUUGUGUUUUUCAAUCUUUCAAUGUUUCAGGUGGGGUCUAAAGUCAUUUUUGUUGUUCUUGGUGGUUCUGUUAGAUAGCAUAUGACCUAGAAGAAAAUAUUGUACAAUAAAUUAGUCGAUGAGGAAAAUGAGUUUAGGGAAAUAGCAUAUUGUUCAUCAGAAUUACAGGCAGAAGAGAAGCUGAGUUUCAUGAUUUGACAUCUCUGUUUCAUGUAAGCAUCUCUUACUCUCUUUCAGAAGAUAAUGAGAUUAGAGAAAUAGCCUAUUGUUGUAGCUAAAGAGAAGCUGGGUUUCAUGAUUUGGCAUAUCUGUUUCAUGUAAGCAUCUCUUACUCUCUUUCAGAAGAUAAUGAGAUUAGGGAAAUAACCUAUUGUUGUAGAUAUUCAUAUGAAUAUAAGAUAUUCUGUCCCAUAAAUUAUUAUAGUAUACUGUUUCAAUUUGGUUGCUCACAGUAUUUUAUGGUUCUUUAUUUGAUAACUCAAUGAUUUUAUGAUACUUUGAUUUAAGUAUCUAUUGUUAAUUUAAUGGUACUAUUUGUAAUUUGAUUCGAGGUUAAUAUAAUCUAGUACAUUUUUUUUUACUACGACUUGCAUUGAGCUCUUCUUUAAUUUUUAUUUAGUUAUUCGUGUCUGAAUUACUUCUUUUUCUUCCUAUAUAUGAUACUCCCCUCACAAUGAAUAGUUUGUAUGUAUAUGGUGUUUGCGAGUUCUGACUGUCAAUUUAGAAUUGAUAUGGUUGAUUUUGAGUAUUGAUAUAUUAUGGUUUAUGGGUCUGUAAUGCAUGAUGAAUUAAUCAAUUUAUGUGGUCCAUUGGUUUUUUUACAUAGCCUUCAAAUCACACGAGAGAGAUACACCGAGGCAAAAUUUGAACGAGCGACUGAUUUUAAGCUAUGUUAUGGAGUCUCGCGAUUGUGAAAUCCCUGAAUCCAGUCGUGAGGAGAGGAAUAGAAAACAUAGGGAGCGGUAUGCUUGUAAUGAGAGUCUACGUGCAGAGAGGAACUUGAGACGCCGAAAUGCUUACGCAACAAUGGAUCCUUCUAAGAAACGCAAAAUGCUAGAUGAUAUUAAUGAAAAGCGUCGCGGCAAAAGUAAUGCAACCAAGUCUACACUAACCGACGUCAAUGCUGCUCUAUUUCUUUGAUGCUGAGCAUAAGGUUGAAAAUAGAAUCAAAGGGGCAGAACGAAUGGAUGCAAGUUUUAUUAUCAACACUUUCUACCGUAACACAGAUCUUUCUUCGCGAGCUCGUCUGAUACUCUAAGCAAGAUCCGAUUAUUGACAGUGGUGUUGGUACAACAAAGGACGAAACAUUUUUUUUCGAGGAAAAAUGGGAGGCUCGACCCCAAUAUUCGCUCUCCCUUAUAGAAUUACGAGGUCCGACCUUACUUAGCUAAGCAAAGUAAUCAAUCUUUGUUCGAGGUUGUGUACGCCAGCCCCGACCUUGGAAUUCUCUAGCGGUACAUGGUACGA